rnacentral:rRNA from 1 species
GAUGAACGCUGGCGGCGUGCUUAACACAUGCAAGUCGAACGGGAAAUACUUCAUUGAGACUUCGGUGGAUUUGAUUUAUUUCUAGUGGCGGACGGGUGAGUAACGCGUGGGUAACCUGCCUUAUACAGGGGGAUAACAGUCAGAAAUGGCUGCUAAUACCGCAUAAGCGCACAGAGCUGCAUGGCUCAGUGUGAAAAACUCCGGUGGUAUAAGACGGACCCGCGUUGGAUUAGCUGGUUGGUGGGGUAACGGCCCACCAAGGCGACGAUCCAUAGCCGGCCUGAGAGGGUGAACGGCCACAUUGGGACUGAGACACGGCCCAGACUCCUACGGGAGGCAGCAGUGGGGAAUAUUGCACAAUGGGGGAAACCCUGAUGCAGCGACGCCGCGUGAAGGAAGAAGUAUCUCGGUAUGUAAACUUCUAUCAGCAGGGAAGAUAGUGACGGUAC